UACAGAGGGGGCAAGCGUUGUUCGGAAUUACUGGGCGUAAAGGGCGCGUAGGCGGCCUCUUAAGUCGAACGUGAAAUCCCCGGGCUCAACCCGGGAACUGCGUCCGAUACUGGGAGGCUUGAAUCCGGGAGAGGGAUGUGGAAUUCCAGGUGUAGCGGUGAAAUGCGUAGAUAUCAAGUGGAACACCAGUGGCGAAGGCGAGUCUCUGGACAUUUCCUGACGCUGAGGCACGAAAGCCAGGGGAGCAAACGGG
rnacentral:rRNA from 1 species